rnacentral:rRNA from 1 species
UGAUUCUUUUUUGAAAGGCGGCUUCGGCUGUCACUGCAGGAUGGGCCCGCGGCGCAUUAGCUAGUUGGUGAGGUAACGGCUCACCAAGGCAACGAUGCGUAGCCGACCUGAGAGGGUGAUCGGCCACACUGGGACUGAGACACGGCCCAGACUCCUACGGGAGGCAGCAGUAGGGAAUCUUCCGCAAUGGACGAAAGUCUGACGGAGCAACGCCGCGUGAGUGAAGAAGGUUUUCGGAUCGUAAAGCUCUGUUGUUAGGGAAGAACAAGUACCAUAGUAACUGAUGGUACCUUGACGGUACCUAACCAGAAAGCCACGGCUAACUACGUGCCAGCAGCCGCGGUAAUACGUAGGUGGCAAGCGUUGUCCGGAAUUAUUGGGCGUAAAGCGCGCGCAGGUGGUUCCAAAAGUCUGAUGUGAAAGCCCCCGGCUCAACCGGGGAGGGUCAUUGGAAACUGGGGAACUUGAGUGCAGGAGAGGAAAGUGGAAUUCCACGUGUAGCGGUGAAAUGCGUAGAUAUGUGGAGGAACACCAGUGGCGAAGGCGACUUUCUGGCCUGU